AUGGAAGAAAAUGAUGGCAGUAAAGAAUCAAGUAGCCAACUUUUAAAGCAUCAAAACUGCCAAAACAUAAUUCAAAGGAAAAAUGAAAACAUCCAGGAGUUGAAAAUGAUUGUUCAUCAAACAAAAGAAGGAAUGCACCAUCUACAUAAUAAAUACAGGGACGAUUUGGUCUAUCUAGCUAAGCAUCUGAAUAGCUUAGCUACUUCUACUUCAGGAUAUCAGAAAGUUCUAGAAGAACACUGCUGGUAUAAAGUCAAAAUGCAAGCAGCCCCGCACAUAAACAUAACCACCUCAUAA